rnacentral:rRNA from 1 species
CGCAGGGGGUAAGAGUCCCGUAGUUAAAAGGUUGAUAGAUUUAGAAUGUAUCCUGAGACGGCGGAACACGAGGAAUUCCGCCGGAAUCCGGGAGGACCAUCUCCCAAGGCUAAAUACUCCUUGGUAACCGAUAGUGAACCAGUACCGUGAGGGAAAGGUGAAAAGCACCCCGGAAGGGGAGUGAAAUAGAACCUGAAACCGUGUGCUUACAAGUAGUCAGAGCCCGUUAAUGGGUGAUGGCGUGCCUUUUGUAGAAUGAACCGGCGAGUUACGAUUUGAUGCAAGGUUAAGCAGUAAAUGUGGAGCCGCAGCGAAAGCGAGUCUGAAUAGGGCGAAUGAGUAUAUGUUUGUAGACGCGAAACCAGGUGAUCUACCCAUGACCAGGCUGAAGUUCAGGUAACACUGAAUGGAGGCCGAACCGACUUACGUUGAAAAGUGACGGAUGAGUGUGGGUAGCGGAGAAAUUCCAAUCGAACCUGGAGAUAGCUCGUUCUCUCCGAAAUAUAUUUAGGUAUAGCCUCAUAUUAGCAUCGUGGAGGUAGAGCACUGUUUGGAUGAGGGGCCCAUCCCGGGUUACCGAGUUCAGACAAACUCCGAAUGCCACAGAUGUGAUGUAUGGGAGUCAGACAGUGGGUGAUAAGGUCCAUUGUCGAGAGGGAAACAGCCCAGACCACCAGUUAAGGUCCCCAAAAUAUAUGUUAAGUGGAAAAGGAUGUGGCGUUGCACAGACAACUAGGAUGUUGGCUUAGAAGCAGCCAUCAUUUAAAGAGUGCGUAAUAGCUCACUAGUCAAGUGACGCUGCGCCGAAAAUGUACCGGGGCUAAACAUAUUACCGAAACUGUGGAUUAAAAUUUAUUUUAAUGGUAGGAGAGCGUUCUAAGUGCGGCGAAGCAUGAUCGUAAGGACAUGUGGAGCGCUUAGAAGUGAGAAUGCCGGUGUGAGUAGCGAAAGACGGGUGAGAAUCCCGUCCACCGACGACUAAGGUUUCCAGAGGUAGGCUCGUGGGGAGCCGAAAAUAGUAGGCGAAGCAUACGGACUCACACUGCCAAGAAAAGCUUCUAGCAAGUAAUCAGACUGCCCGUACCGUAAACCGACACAGGUAGUUGGGAAGAGAAUUCUAAGGUGAGCGAGCGAACUCUCGUUAAGGAACUCGGCAAAAUGACCCCGUAACUUCGGGAGAAGGGGUGCUUAUAGAAAUAUAAGCCGCAGUGAAUAGGCCCAAGCGACUUCUAAACCGUGAGUAUGCCGCCCGGUGCUGGAAGGUUAAGAGGAGUUAGCCGCGAAUACGGAAGCCCCAGUAAACGGCGGCCGUAACAAUAACGGUCCUAAGGUAGCGAAAUUCCUUGUCGGGUAAGUUCCGACCCGCACGAAAGGCGUAACGAUUUGGGCACUGUCUCAACGAGAGACUCGGUGAAAUCAUAGUACCUGUGAAGAUGCAGGUUACCCGCGACAGGACGGAAAGACCCCGUGGAGCUUUACUGUAGUCUGAUAUUGAAAUUCGGUACAGCUUGUACAGGAUAGGUAGGAGCCUGAGAUACGUGAGCGCUAGCUUACGUGGAGGCGUUGGUGGGAUACUACCCUAAAUGUAUUGAACUUCUAACCCUUACCCCUGAUCGGGGUAGGAGACAGUGUCAGGCGGACAGUUUGACUGGGGCGGUCGCCUCCUAAAAAGGUAACGGAGGCGCCCAAAGGUUCCCUCAGAAUA